GUCGAGAAUCUUUCACAAUGGGGGCAACCCUGAUGGAGCGACGCCGCGUGGAGGAUAAGGUCUUCGGAUUGUAAACUCCUGUCAUGCGUGAACAAGGUUGCUUGGUUAAUACCUGGGCAAAUUGAUGGUAACGCAAGAGGAAGAGACGGCUAACUCUGUGCCAGCAGCCGCGGUAAUACAGAGGUCUCAAGCGUUGUUCGGAAUCACUGGGCGUAAAGGGUGCGUAGGUGGCGUGGUAAGUCAGAUGUGAAAGCCCGGGGCUCAACCUCGGAACUGCAUCCGAUACUGCCAUGCUAGAGUACUGGAGAGGUGACUAGAAUUCUCGGUGUAGCAGUGAAAUGCGUAGAUAUCGAGAGGAAUACCAAAGGCGUAGGCAGGUCACUGGACAGUUACUGACACUGAGGCACGAAGGCCAGGGGAGCGAACGGGAUUAGAAACCCCAGUAGUCU
rnacentral:rRNA from 1 species